rnacentral:rRNA from 1 species
GUGUCAGCCGCCGCGGUAAUACGAAGGGGGCUAGCGUUGCUCGGAAUCACUGGGCGUAAAGGGUGCGUAGGCGGGUCUUUAAGUCAGGGGUGAAAUCCUGGAGCUCAACUCCAGAACUGCCUUUGAUACUGAGGAUCUUGAGUUCGGGAGAGGUGAGUGGAACUGCGAGUGUAGAGGUGAAAUUCGUAGAUAUUCGCAAGAACACCAGUGGCGAAGGCGGCUCACUGGCCCGAUACUGACGCUGAGGUACGAAAGCGUGGGGAGCAAACAGGAUUAGAAACCCUCGUAGUCC